rfam:Planctomycetes bacterium RBG_16_41_13 RBG_16_scaffold_13214, whole genome shotgun sequence.
GGGGGCGAAAGGAUUCGACCGGAUUGUACGAUAUAUAGGUUGCGUAUUGAGGUUGUCAGGCGGCCUCAUUAAAAACCUGGCAAAACAAUUAAAUGCCGAAGAACCAAUGGCAAUGGCUGCUUAAUUGACAGCCACGUUUCAUCCGUUUUACCUGCGAAAUUGAUGAAACGAAGAAUAGCAGGUUAGUUUAGACCUUUUGCACCGCGGGGUCUUAAAUGAAUUAGUAGUUGUGCUAGCUUUUAAAAACCUUGUCUGUUAGGGUUUUAACGGCGAAAUUAAAAAACAGACUAUAUACGUAGAAGCCUAUAUUGAAACAUCUAGGGACGCGGGUUCAAUUCCCGCCGCCUCCACCA